rnacentral:rRNA from 1 species
UACGGAGGGUGCGAGCGUUGUCCGGAAUCACUGGGCGUAAGGGCGCGUAGGCGGCGCGGGCAGUCAACGGUGAAAGCUUGGGGCUCAACCCCGAGUCGGCCGUCGAUACUCCCGUGCUUGAGCACUGUAGAGGCAGGUGGAAUUCCGGGUGUAGCGGUGGAAUGCGUAGAGAUCCGGAAGAACACCGGUGGCGAAGGCGGCCUGCUGGGCAGUAGCUGACGCUGAAGCGCGACAGCGUGGGGAGCAAACAGG